GCCUGUGUGGCUCAGUGGUUGAGCAUCGGCCUAUGAAUCCGGAGGUCAUGGUUUGAUUCCAGGUGAGAGCA
rnacentral:tRNA from 1 species